CUACCACUUCAUCCCUGCUUAGUUUGGAAAGACGGUCUGAUCUGGAUAGUGACUGUUUGGUAUGAAGCACAUUCCACUUCUUAAUGAUGGACUUCACCAUACUCA